rnacentral:rRNA from 1 species
UAACGCGUAAGGAACUUGCCUCUUGGACUGGGACAACUGUUGGAAACGACAGCUAAUACCGGAUAUUAUGAGAUUCUCGCAUGAGAAACUUAUGAAAGCUAUAUGCGCCAAGAGAGAGCCUUGCGUUCCAUUAGCUAGUUGGUGGGGUAAUGGCCCACCAAGGCGACGAUGGAUAGCCGGCCUGAGAGGGUGAACGGCCACAAGGGGACUGAGACACGGCCCUUACUCCUACGGGAGGCAGCAGUGAGGAAUAUUGGACAAUGGGCCACAAGCCUGAUCCAGCAAUUCUGUGUGCACGAUGAAGGUCUUCGGAUUGUAAAGUGCUUUCAGUUGGGAAGAAGAAAGUGACGGUACCAACAGAAGAAGCGACGGCUAAAUACGUGCCAGCAGCCGCGGUAAUACGUAUGUCGCAAGCGUUAUCCGGAUUUAUUGGGCGUAAAAGCGCGUCUAGGCGGAAAAAUAAGUCUGAUGUUAAAAUGCGGGGCUCAACUCCGUAUUGCGUUGGAAACUGUUUUUCUAGAGUACUGGAGAGGUGGGCGGAACUACAAGUGUAGAGGUGAAAUUCGUAGAUAUUUGUAGAAUGCCGAUGGA